GACGAACGCUGGCGGCGUGCCUAAUACAUGCAAGUAGAACGCAAAGGGAGGAGCUUGCUGCUCUGGAUGAGUUGCGAACGGGUGAGUAACGCGUAGGUAACCUGCCUUGGAGUGGGGGAUAACUAUUGGAAACGAGAGCUAAUACCGCAUAAUAGCUGUUGUUGCAUGAUAACUGUUUGAAAGGUGCAAUGGCACCGCUACCAGAUGGACCUUCGUUGUAUUAGCUAGUUGGUGGGGUAACGGCUCACCAAGGCGACGAUACAUAGCCGCACUGAGAGGGGGGUCGGCCGCACUGGGAGUGAGACCGGGCACAGACUGACACGGGAGGCAGCAGUAGGGAAUCUUGGGCAAGGGGCGGAAGUCUUACCGAGAAACGCCGAGUGAGUGAAGAAGGAUGUCGGGUGGUAAAGCACGGUUGUCAGGGAAGAAACCGUGUGCGAGUGGAAAGUUGACACUGUGACGGUAACUUAUAAGAAAGCGACGGCUAACUACGUG
rnacentral:rRNA from 1 species